UACAGAGGUCUCAAGCGUUGUUCGGAUUCAUUGGGCGUAAAGGGUGCGUAGGUGGCUCUGUAAGUCGGGUGUGAAAUUUCGGAGCUUAACUCCGAAACUGCAUUCGAUACUGCGGUGCUUGAGGACUGGAGAGGAGACUGGAAUUCAUGGUGUAGCAGUGAAAUGCGUAGAGAUCAUGAGGAAGACCAGUGGCGAAGGCGGGUCUCUGGACAGUUCCUGACACUGAGGCGCGAAGGCCAGGGGAGCAAACAGG
rnacentral:rRNA from 1 species